CUGCCUUGUCAGACCUGAAGAUGCAGUGUCCAAGAUAUUCAGUGAACUGUGUGGAUUCAGACAGCAACGCUUCAGUUAACUGUGUAGAUCAUGUACUGUAUUGUUAAUCACCAGUUAUUGUUUCCUUUCACUGCGUAGUCGUGCCGGUUACUACUACUGUUCCUACAUAAUCACAAGCGUGGAUGGAUGAUUAUCUCAGAUCAGAUGUUGCUAGAUUACUUUCUUAGAUUGCUUUUGUCACCAAGCCACACAGAUCAUCUAGUUAGAUAGAAUCCGCUAUGCUAGGGUGAUGAAUGAACGAACAAACUAUAAUAGGAACAUGGGCACCAGGUUUUAGAGGGCUUGUGAUUCUGUGGUUGCAGCAAGCCCACCUUGUACGCCCGACGAGUUUAUCCUGUGUAUUUUGUCUUGCUAGACGAGUUAUCCAGCAAUACUAGUGCAUAGUACAAAAUUAUCAUAGAUCCUGGCUGUAACCUGCUUUUGUGCUUGUGACUUUGGCCUGCAUGAUUUUGUGGGGAUUUGGUACCAGACUAGAGGUAGAGGCUGACGAUUUCUUGUUGUUUCAGUCAAGUGCUUGAUAGAUAGCUGUCUCAUAUGCAUUUUCCGUUCCUAAUGGUGCUUUUUCAUUUCCUUGCCAGGCCAAAUAAAGGAUGUUGUUCUCGGUGGAGUUGCGCUUGAGCAUGAGUAGAGAGAGAAAUUUAAUCAAAUCCAAUAGCUUCACUCGUGUCUGCCACUGCUCAUUGUCGUGUUGACAGAGCGUUCACCCGAUGGCGGAAUACCACGCCGCAGCGUGGGCAGUCGGCGGUUGCGCUAUAUACGUGAGUGACAAACCCGAAAACCAUGACUUCGAUCUGCUGAGGAAGCUUGUGUUUCCUGACGGAUCAAUCCUGCGAGCCAAACUGCCCGGGAGACAAACUGGACUACCGUUGUCGCGGAAAUUCCGUGCGAUGGAAGCUUCUAGAGCCUGCUGGUACUUCCUAGCCAGAAGCCCCACGAGCUCGACGUCCAGCUCUACAACCACCAUCCCACGCACAAGCAGGUGCUCUGCUCUUGCUCACGUCUAGCACCGUCUCUGGUGCGAUGGUGCUUCUUGAGGCGACCACAAGCUCUCCGCUGUGAGUAGACGUCAACGAUGCCUACUUGCUUGGCUGCUACAGUGAUGCAUGCGCCGGUCAAGCAAGCACACAUGCAUAUACGUACAUGUUAGGAUAGUAGCAGAUGUGCCAUAAUUCCUGUGUAAGGAAAUGUAUUCCUGAGAUGAUUUUGUUAUGUUAUCUAAACCUGGGAGAUGUCUUAUGUGAUGUGAUAUGAUGGAUGAUCUGAAUUCGACAUUGAGUUUCCCUAAUUUGAAUAUGAAACAAUGUCGGAUGCGUGUGUGUAACUGGAUUAAA